rnacentral:rRNA from 1 species
UUAAUACCGUAUAACUCAAGGCUUUACUUAUAAAACUAGACGGACCGCUGUUUCUUUUCCUUAAACCAGAGGAAGGUUGCGGCAAUAACAGGUCUGUGAUGCCCUUAGAUGUUCCGGGCUGCACACGUGCUACAAUGAUCAGUACAGUGAGCAUCUCAAUUUAUCUUUAUAUAGAAUUUAUUCUAUAUAAGAACCGUAUUUUCAAGCAUCUGUCGUUAUUACAAUGAUCAGUAUGCGCGGUAACGCCUGUUUCGAGAGUAAAUGGGUAAUCCAUUGGAAGUAAUGAUUUCUCUAUUUUAUAAUAAAAUGCACGGUUUAUAUACGGCAUUCAUUCCCGAGGCGCCUUUGUAGUGUCUAUGUGCGAAUGUAAUGUUAUGGCUUUGUUAUUAACGGCUAUUCCUUAAUAGUUUUGUUAUUAACGGCUAUAGUUAUCGUAUGUGCGAUUGUCAAUUCGUGGUGGGGACAGACCAUUGUUAACUGUUGGUCUCGGUCUUAACUAGGAAUGCCUCGUACGGGUCUUGGUUCAACAAACCACCCGGAAUACGUCCCUGCCCUUUGUACACACCGCCCGUCGCUCUUACCGAUGGACUACCUUGUGAGCCUGAGGGACUGGAUUUUUCUAUUUCUUUAAUAGAUUUCUAAUCUAUGGAAACUUAGUCGAACAAGGUGUCUAAAGGAA